AUAGUUUUUUUUUUUUUAUUCUUGUAACAUAGUUGUUUAAUAUGUUUGUUUCAGAACAAUUGAAUACCAAUUUGUUUAACAUUACUAAAUAGAUUAGAUUUAACAAAAAUGUAUGUUAAGGUUGUUCUUGAUACAUAUAUAUUUGCAUUCUUCUUUAGAUGUAUUUGUCAACUGAAGUAGGCAAGAUAAUCCUGAUCUUAUUUUUAAUUUUUAUAAUAGCUUGGUACAUUAGCUUUGAUCGAAGCAAAACUGAAGUUUGAUGGAGACGAAACAAUAAUGUAACGCAUUCGCUCCAAAAUUAUUUUCUAUGUUCUGAAGGAAAUAUUCAAUUUGAUCAUUUUUAGUGCACUACCAUGUUAUGAUUAAACUUCAAUAACUUGUUUGUUUGUUAGCAUAAACUUUUACAUAAGAUUAAGAAUUAAUGGGAAAUGCAUGCCCUUUUAAGUAGUUAAUAAAAAAAUUUUUUUAGAUUAGUUAUUUUUAUUUUGGAUCAUGAACAUUUAAAUGGAAAACUCACCAACUGUUAACAAGUCGACUGUUAACAAGUCAUCUAGGUCUUGACAAGAGGUAAGAAAUAUUUUAUAACUCAUGUUGAAUAUUUUUUUUUAAUGAUAUCCAUUAUGAUGUAUCCAUAUUUUCACAAAACAAUAAAUAACUCAUUUGAAAAAACAUUAAAGGGAAACCUUGUAAGUAUCUAACUUUAUGAAAUUUGAGCAACUCAUUUUAAUUACAUCAUACUCUGUAAAAUGUUUAAAAAAUCUGAAUGCUUAUCAAAGAGAAAUAUUUAUGAUUUAUUUUAAGCUAUUUAAACAUUGAGGAAAACAGAAAAUAAAAUGGAAAGAAAGAGUUAAACUUUUGUUGAUUGCAUUUAUAGUUUGUUUGGUUUGCUGUAUUAAGAUAUUACUGACCAUUUCAUUAUGUUUUACUUUUUUUUUUAUGUUUGUAUUUUUUAAAAUAAAGAUACAGUUUAACAUUUUCUUUUGUUUCCUUUAAAAUAAUUAUUUGUGUGGAUGUAUGAAUGAAAUCUAUAAAAUUGGUGUCCAUACAUUCUUAUAUAUGCUAUAGUAAACUGUAAAUGAUAGUGCUAUGUAACAUUCAUUAUCAAUGCUGUUUCCCAGUUCACAUAACUAAAACAUUAAAUUGAACUGCAUUAACAUUUUUCUAUAUUUUAUUAUUAAUUUAUAUGAACAGAAUUUAAGAAUGGUAGUUAUAUGUCCCAUGGAAGUAAGAUAAUUUAAGUAAAAAAAUUUGGAAUCUAAUAUUGUAUAAACUUGAAUAUUAUAAAUGGAUCCGAACUUACAGUAUUUAAAACUCUAUAAUAACAAACUUUAAAUUAAAAAUCAGAAAAUAUUUCAAGCACAGCUUUAGAAAAGACACCAUUAAAAAAAAGUAGUUUUGAUAAAACAUGUUUUACUGGGGGGGGGGGGG